rnacentral:rRNA from 1 species
GACGAACCGUGCGAACGUUGUUCGGAAUCACUGGGCUUAAAGGGCGCGUAGGCGGGCUGUCAAGUCUGGGGUGAAAUCCCACGGCUCAACCGUGGAACUGCCUCAGAUACUGACGGCCUCGAGGGAGGUAGGGGCGUGCGGAACUGUAGGUGGAGCGGUGAAAUGCGUUGAUAUCUACAGGAACUCCGGUGGCGAAAGCGGCGCGCUGGACCUCUUCUGACGCUGAGGCGCGAAAGCUAGGGGAGCAAACGGGAUUAGAAACCCCCGUAGUCC